rnacentral:lncRNA from 1 species
GGCAGCGUCUGAUUGCCUUGAAUAAGGGGAGGUCAGUUUUGACUCCUGCCCUACCUCUUCAGUCUGGCUGGUGUAGCACAAACUGAGCAGACAGGAUCAAUUCUUCAAGGGCGUAUUCCAUCUCCUGGUCAGAGAGGGCACUGCCUGAUGCGGCAAGAGACAUGCCGUGGUCCUCACUUUUGGAUUCGUUGGAAUUAAGGUCCGCCCCCUGGGAAAGGUGAGGGUUCUCCAAAACAGCCUGAAGCACAGACAGAGGGGAUGCCUGAGUAGCUUCUCCCUCCUCUGGGACUUCGUUGUCAACAGAGUCGCCCUCGAGCAAGGAUGAGGCCUGGGCAAUACUUUCCGUGUACUUCACUCUAAGGACACCGGAGCCCAUACGAGCACAAUGCAAACAACUUGUGUGGUCGACGAGGGCCUCCAUAGCGUGUUCAACGCCGAGGCAAGUAGUACAGAGUAGAUGGGAAUCCGUACCGGACAUGUGAUGCCCACAAUUGCCAGAGCAAGCUUUGCUAGGCUUGUGCUGCUUUUUCUCCCCCUUCCCUGACAACUUGGCCGGUAAGCCUGUCGACAUCUCGUUUCACCCGGACAGACUAAAGCAAAUCGAGUUACCGGGGGGCUAUCUAGCUACACCAUGCACUGCUACUACAACUACAACGCGAAGUCGGAAGAAACACAGGUUAACGUGAGCUUGAGUCAGGGGCACUCCUGAAAUAUUUUGAAGCACACUCUGGCACUGGCCAGGAUGAGGAGCCAUCCACCUCCUCAGCCACACAGGUCUCUUCAGAAUGAUCUCGGAGCCUUGGGAUGAGGAGCCAUCCACCUCCUCAGCCACACAGGCCUCUUCAGAAUGAUCUCGGAGCCUUGGGAUGAGGAGCCAUCCACCUCCUCAGCCACACAGGCCUCUUCAGAAAUGAUCUCAGAGCCUCAGAAUGAGGAGCCAUCCACCUCCUCAGCCACACAGGUCUCUUCAGAAAUGAUCUCGGAGCCUCAGGAUGAGGAGCCAUCCACCUCCUCAGCCACACAGGUGUCUUCACAAAUGUUGUCUGAGCCUGAGGAUGAAGACCCAUUUGCUUCCACUUCUCCCCAGCAGGAUUCUUCAGAAAUGCCUGUAGCAGCAUCCCCACCAAAUCCUGCUGCUGAGGAUGAACCACUGUCUACAGACACUGUCUACAGACCCUGCUGACUGGCCUUCAAUAAACCAAAACACAAAGCCAAAUAUUCACCGGUGUUGCUUACCAAGAAGACAUUGAAUGUUCCUGAGUGGCUUAGUUAUAGUUGUGACUUAACUCUGCUUGAAAAUCUAUGGCAAGAGCUUGUAGAAGUUUUUAAAGAAUGUGUAAAUAUUGUACAAACCAGGUGUGCAAAGCUGUUAGAGACAUACCCAGAAAGACUCACAUCUGUAAUCGCUACCAAAGGUGAUUCUAACGUUAACUCAGGGAUGUGUAUAUUUUUGUAAAUGAG